AGAGAGGAGCAGGUUAGAGUAUAGCUAAUAGUAGAGAGGAGCAGGUUAGAGUAUAGCUAACAGUGGAGAGAAGCAGGUUAGAGUACAGAAGGUUAGAGUAUACCUAACAGCAGCGAGGAGCAGGUUAGAGUAUAGAAGGUUAGAGUAUAGCUAACAGCAGCGAGGAGCAGGUUAGAGUAUAGAAGGUUAGAGUAUAAAUAACAGCAUCGAGGAGCAGGUUAGACUAUAGCUAACGGUGGAGAGAAGCAGGUUAGAGUAUAGCUAACAGUAGAGAGGAGCAGGUUAGAGUAUAGCUAACAGUAGAGAGGAGCAGGUUAGAGUAUAGCAGGAUGGGUAUAGCUAACA